GGGGGGGGGUUUGAUUUGGAUGAAGUUGAAACAAACAAGCAAGUAUGAAAAACUAGACAGAUUGUAAAACAAAUUUGAGAAAUAAGAUGAUGGAUGGGAUAGCUAGAGGCUUUUUCUCCACACAUGACAUGUAUGCAAAUAACUCGAUUUCCAGUUACUACUUCAUUGAAUUAUGAAUGACAAUGCCCCAAAUUAACCGUGACAUCACUAGUUAACUCUUAGAUUUUCCUUGUUUUAUUGGAUUGGAUGACAUCAUUCGACAACCCAAAACAUUCUUCAAAAGUUCCCUACAUGACAUCAUAAUAGAGAUACAAUCAAAGAUCAUUACGUCUAAUAAAAAUCAUAAGCAUUGACAAAGCACUUGUAACUAUGACAUCAUGUCACUCAUGCUAGGAAUUGAACUUAACGCGAUCGUUUAUAAGCAAC
rnacentral:lncRNA from 1 species